UUAAAAGAGGAGCUUUGAAAUAAUACCUAACACCAGCAUCACCAACAAUUCCAAUGGCCAUACCAGCAGAAAGACCAGCAAGACCACAAGCAAGACCAGAUGAAAGAUGUGCAUAACCAUCGAAAAGGUAAUAAGAUUUAGCCUUUGGAUUGAUUCCAGUACUAAUAAUAACAGCAAUAAUCAAUCCAUAAAUACCCAAAACUCCAGCCAUAACAACUGGAACGAUCGACUUCAUUACAAGUUCAGGUCUCAUCACACCCAUUGAUGCUACACCAACACCACUCUUUGCUGUUCCAUAUGCUGCUCCCAUACCUAAAUCACACACAAGAAACAAUCAACAUUAAGAUCUGAAUAUAAAGUUUUAGAGAUUGAAUUGAAGUGAUUUAGUGAGUUAGGGUUUUGAGAUUACAAGAGAAAACUAAAGCUGCUGCUGCACCAAGGAAACCGAAGAAAGGAGCAGUUUCAUCUCCACUGAAUGUUGAAGACAUUUUGAUUUUUCUUUUGCUUCGAGUUCGAUUUACAGAUUUUGAAAUCUGAAGAGAAGAAGUUUGAGAUCUGAUUUGGAGUUUUUCUCUCUCUCUCUCCUCUGUUCUUCCCUUCGUUGUUAAAUGUUGAAGAGAAAGAAAAUUCGAGAAUGAGACUCGUCGACUUAUUAUAAUCACAUUCACACAAUCACACGUACUUAACAUCAUACCCAUGGAAAAAGCCAACUAUGGCCCAAUGAAUUUUAGUUCUUCUGAAAGCCCAAUUUAAUUUAAAAUGGUGUACAGUGCACAAUUCUAUCUAAAGCAUUUGCAAGUUGCAACCAUCUUCAUCUUCUGCUACAUCAGAAAAGUUGUGAAGUUUAAUUUCUUUAAUUUUAGUCUGUUGUGAUUUUGUUGUACAAAUACUGAUUAGGGCAACAUUGUCGAGGUCUACCGAAUAGAUCAGUAUUGAAUUGAUAGUCAUGAGAAUAGAUUGAGCGAAAAACUUCCAAUGAUGAUUCCUUCAAAGCAUCCUACAUCAUGAUUUGCAUUAUGUGAAUCACUAGAUCAGUUGUUUUAAGGUUUUUCUUUGAAUACAGCAACCAUAAUGCUAAGGAGCCAACUUUUCUAACUAGAUAUCUUCCAUGUUUCCAAUUGUUUCGGGAGGAUUAAUAUCACUGAUGUCUGUAACCCUUUCUAGCAUCAGCCUGGGCAGAAAAUUGCUAUGGCUUGCUUAAGCUGACAGAUUUGUCAAUUCAAAACGUCAAAUGGCAAGCCACAAAACAUUGGUCACGAAAGGAACUCAAACUAUCAAUGAUCUAAAAUAGACAUUGUUUAUGGGUGGAUCUUGUAGUACCCAUCUUAGCCUUCUAAACAUCAGAUUAAAACAGAAUACUAUGGCUUCCUCAAAGUCUUAGGUCUUUCAGUUAAAAUCGUAGGGCCAAGUCACAGACUAUCAUUCCAUACACCUGAAAGAAACAUAUCAAGUCUUGUAGCUUCCCUGUUUCCACUUGUCUUGGGCAUUCAAGUUUUGGAAGUAAAUACACAAUCUCAGAGAUUUAUAAUAUUUUCUGGUGCCCCACAAUUUCGAUACAGUCAAAUAUACCAGAGAUUUAUAUUAUUUUAUUUUUCUUUAGGGCAGAUUGAUUAGGCUACUGGACUUUGACACUGGGUCUCAAAAUAAAUUUCUGACAAAAGAAAACAGGAGAAUACAAGUACUAGUUAUAUAAAAAAUUACAGCAAGAAUGAUAAACAAAACCCAGCUCUAGGAGCUUUAUUUUCAAAGAAACUAAUUGUGCAUUUUUAUAAGUACACAACAACUACCCAAUAAGGGAGGGAGAGAAACCAUGUCCAGAAUACACAAUUUCGAUAAGACUGCAAGUUCUGAACUACAAUCCGAUUCUAGCCUCAAAUGAAUGGACGGUGUUUCCAACAAAGCACAGUAGAAUAUCAACACUGGAGGAUUUACCUCAGUCUGCUCUAGAUUGUCCCGCUCGGGAAGAAAGGAUGAUACCAACAAUAAGGCCAUACAAGGCCAGAGCUUCAGCAAAAAUGAGGAUGAGAAUCAUACCAACAAAAAGCUUAGGCUGCUGAGCGUUAGCCCUGCAAAAUGAAACCAGAAAUAGAGAGUUCCUCAUAAGUACAAAAGCAAACACAGGUAAAUAGUACAUUGACAACUCAGUAAAUGAUGGCAGAGAAGAUUGAAACUAAAUAUUCAUAUCACAAUCUGUAGAACCGGAAAUGAAACCGGAAAUUAGAGGGUGCCUCAUUAUUUUACAAAAGCAAACACAGGUACAUAGUACAUUGACAACUCAUUAUAUGAUGGCAGAGACGUCACAAUCUGUAGAACUGUGUAGCGGUAUCUAACAUGAUAAAACAACAGGGUCCCGACUCAUGCUAUAUUCCAUAAUAGACAUAGUUCAUAAAAAAAAUUGAGAGACGAGAGCCAUUUACAGGGAGGAGGCACAAGUAUGCAAAGUUCAACAAUGGAACUCUAACAGUAACAUUGUCAUAUCUCGCAAUGGAGUAAGGUCUUAAGAAACGUAACUGUAUUCAGAUAUUCAGAACAUAUUUUUACCAUCAACCCAUUUUUAACCCAAAAAAGAAUGAAAAAGAAAAUAGAAACUGAAGAUGUUACAAGAAUUUGUAAGUAAAGACAUAAUCCUGUGGACGCAUCUUUUAUAUGUUAAGUUCAGCGUUUUUAAGAAAUUUAUAUAUAAUGAUUGAAUGAAAUACUCCUACUUUAUCAAAAAAAAAUAAAAAUAAAAUCUAUAUAAUGAACCUUAAAACCGAUCCAUUAAGUUCCGUGCAACCACAACUACAAAAGCUAAAACACGCAGAUUGGACAGAACACUUAGCAAGCACCACAAUAAGCAUUAUCUCCUCACAUGCAGGAUUCAUUUACAACUUCAGACUAAACUAUCAUGCUGCCCUGAAAUGAAGUUUAAGUUAUCACCCAUUGUAAUUCAAUCUAUAUUCCAAACCAAUUUUUUUACACAGCUGUCAUUUUAGAUCAGUGGGAAGAGGGUUAUUUUCCUUUACCGGACUGACCAAAGAAAUUUUGGCAAAACCAUAUCGAGUGAAAAUAUUCCUGGAAAGUGAUAAAUUGUUGUUUUCAACAUUGUGAGCUCUCCAACUUAGUUGCUCUAUGGUGGGAAAACGCUAGAAAGUUCAUCACAAAGAGGUUCCACUCCAACCUCUGUCUUACCAAAGUCGUUCUUUUUCCCCAUUGCCCAGAUGGAAUCAAAUCACUUACUAGAGGAAAAAAAAAUCUAGAGGUAGAUAAACUGUUUUGGACAACAUAUGGCAUCUGGUUCCAGCAACUGUGAUGUUGAGGUACCUGGAUUCCAAGGAAUGAGCUGUAAGAAGAGAGUGACUAUCAACACUAAAGCUUCAUGCUGGUGUUGGCUUAUCGGGGAAGUGGUAAGAAGAGAGUAUGCUUGAAUGAUCUGACCACGUAUUGGGGCAUUCUUUAUUGACAAAUAAUUGUAUUCCCAAGAUGUAAUACUGCUACUUGCUUUCUUGUUUCCAUUAAAGAAGAUAACCUUCAAUUUUUUUUAUCUCAGUCUAUAUUUUCCAAGAUCAGCAUCUUCGGCACCUAAUGUUGGUUACUAUGGAUAUCGAUCAACAAAAUAGAAAAGAUUUGAGAUCCAUUUCAAAAGGAUGGCCUAAGAUUAUAGAAAACUAGAUACAUAUGUAAUAUAUCUUAUUUGAUACACCUGUAAAAUCUCUGCCAAGAUACAUAUUCCUCACUACUCUAAAUCACCAUCACAUCACAGCAGGUGGUCUUGAGUACAUCCUCCAACAAUUAACUAAUAAGUUUUAAUUGCAGGUUGGCUCCAUAAUAUCAUCAGUUAGAUUUAGACCCUUGAUCAAAACCUGUCCAGAUACCAUAUCUCCAACUUUUCUCUAUGUUAACCGUAUAUUACCUCAACUUUUAAUCUUCUUUUUCAAUGCGUUCGAGAUUUCUGGUAGUUCUGUAUUCUUUCACUGAUAUUAUACAUUAAUAAUGAUAUGUUCAUAAAAUUUGGAAGCCGUCUUUUUAUCUACAAUAUCAAUCUUUUCUUACAAAAAGAUAUGAAAUAUGGAGAUAUGGUUUGUUCUGAAAAUGAAUAUUUAGCUUGUUUCCCUUUGAAAUUGAAAGCAACUUUCCUACUCAAAGGGAAGGUCAAACAUAGCAAGAAAAACUAAUUGUAAAAAAUGAUUGAGUUUAUUUGAUAGGAAAAAACACAAAGACAUUAAGGUGUUCUUUUCUUACACUUCUUGAGGCAACAUGUGACAUUGUCCUUAAUUUGUGAGAUUAUUGUUGAUGUUUCCGUUGUUUCUUGUUCUUUUUAUUUCAUUAUCCUAAUAUUAUCUCUUAUAUACACAUGUUCAAUUAGAAAUUACUCUCCCAAACACAUCAAACACAAAUAACGUUAGAUGGAUUCGAAGAACAUAAUAAUGUUUCGAAGUAUAGAAUAAGCUCAAUCCAAAACAACCUUUAGUUAAAAAUUGGCCUACCAUAACAAUGUUUAGAAGUAAAGAAUAAGCUCAAUCCAAAACAACCUUUAGUUAAAAAUGGCCCUAGCAUAUUUUCCUAAAUGCUAACUGCACAUAAGUUGCACGGCUUGUGGCACCUACUACACCUUGGUUAGCAUAACAUUUGUCAAGUUGCAAAGAUGUGGUUUACCUAUCUUCACCUCAGCGUGCGUUGCAUAAACACUAAACUAUAUUGACCACAUGUUCAUGUGAAAGUAGCAUAUAAUGAUGUCUACUUCUUAUCUCCUAAUAAAGUCAUUGUCAACAUUGAACCAUAUCGACAAUUUCAUGAGAUAUGUAGGCAAAACAAUAUUGUUGUGUACAGUGUACAAAUGUCUGACAAUACAAACUUUAGGCCCGAAUACAAAUCCAAUAAUCUAACAAACUCAAUUCAUAUGAGAGUAAACCUCCAAACCACAAAUCAAUCAUUAUGAACAUUACAAAAUACAGCUUCAAUCUAAGUUUAAAAACAUUACCUGACACCAGCAUCACCAACAAUUCCAAUGGCCAUACCAGCAGAAAGACCGGCAAGACCACAAGCAAGACCAGAUGAAAGAUGUGCAUAACCAUCGAAAAGGUAAUACGACUUAGCCUUUGGAUUGAUUCCAGUACUAAUAAUAACAGCAAUAAUCAAUCCAUAAAUACCCAAAACUCCAGCCAUAACAACUGGAACAAUAGACUUCAUUACAAGUUCAGGUCUCAUCACACCCAUUGAUGCUACACCCACACCACUCUUUGCUGUUCCAUAUGCUGCUCCCAU
rnacentral:lncRNA from 1 species